rnacentral:rRNA from 2 species
GUGACCUCAAAUCAGGUAGGACUACCCGCUGAACUUAAGCAUAUCAAUAAGCGGAGGAAAAGAAACUAACAAGGAUUCCCCUAGUAACUGCGAGUGAAGCGGGAAAAGCUCAAAUUUAAAAUCUGACAGUCUUUGGCUGUCCGAGUUGUAAUCUAGAGAAGCAUUAUCCGCACUGGACCGUGUACAAGUCUCCUGGAAUGGAGCGUCAUAGAGGGUGAGAAUCCCGUCUUUGACACGGACUGCCAGGGCUUUUGUGAUGUGCUCUCAAAGAGUCGAGUUGUUUGGGAAUGCAGCUCAAAAUGGGUGGUAAAUUCCAUCUAAAGCUAAAUAUUGGCGAGAGACCGAUAGCGAACAAGUACCGUGAGGGAAAGAUGAAAAGAACUUUGGAAAGAGAGUUAAACAGUACGUGAAAUUGCUGAAAGGGAAACGCUUGAAGUCAGUCACAUUGGCCAGGGAUCAGCCUUGCUUUUGCUUGGUGUACUUUCUGGUUGAUGGGUCAGCAUCAAUUUUGACUAUUGGAAAAAGAUUAAGGGAAUGUAGCAUCUUCGGAUGUGUUUAUAGCCCUUGGUUGCAUACAAUGGUUGGGAUUGAGGAACUCAGCACGCCGCAAGGCCGGGUUUAACCACGUA